UACGUAGGGCGCAAGCGUUGUCCGGAAUUAUUGGGCGUAAAGAGCUCGUAGGCGGUCUGUUACGUCUGCUGUGAAAACCCGGGGCGUUAACCCUGGGCUUGCAGUGGAUACGGGCAGACUAGAGUGCGGUAGGGGUGACUGGAAUUCCUGGUGUAGCGGUGGAAUGCGCAGAUAUCAGGAGGAACACCGAUGGCGAAGGCAGGUCACUGGGCCGCAACUGACGCUGAGGAGCGAAAGCAUGGGGAGCGAACAGG
rnacentral:rRNA from 1 species